GACGAACGCUGGCGGCGUGCUUAACACAUGCAAGUCGAACGGAAAGGCCCUUCGGGGUACUCGAGUGGCGAACGGGUGAGUAACACGUGGGUGAUCUGCCCUGCACUUUGGGAUAAGCCUGGGAAACUGGGUCUAAUACCGAAUAGGACCACGCGCUUCAUGGUGUGUGGUGGAAAGCUUUUGCGGUGUGGGAUGGGCCCGCGGCCUAUCAGCUUGUUGGUGGGGUAAUGGCCUACCAAGGCGACGACGGGUAGCCGGCCUGAGAGGGUGACCGGCCACACUGGGACUGAGAUACGGCCCAGACUCCUACGGGAGGCAGCAGUGGGGGAUAUUGCACAAUGGGCGCAAGCCUGAUGCAGCGACGCCGCGUGAGGGAUGACGGCCUUCGGGUUGUAAACCUCUUUCAAUAGGGACGAAGCGCAAGUGACGGUACCUAUAGAAGAAGCACCGGCCAACUACGUGCCAGCAGCCGCGGUAAUACGUAGGGUGCGAGCGUUGUCCGGAAUUACUGGGCGUAAAGAGCUCGUAGGUGGUUUGUCGCGCUGUUCGUGAAAACUCACAGCUUAACUGUGGGCGUGCGGGCGAUACGGGCAGACUAGAGUACUGCAGGGGAGACUGGAAUUCCUGGUGUAGCGGUGGAAUGCGCAGAUAUCAGGAGGAACACCGGUGGCGAAGGCGGGUCUCUGGGCAGUAACUGACGCUGAGGAGCGAAAGCGUGGGGAGCGAACAGGAUUAGAUACCCUGGUAGUCCACGCCGUAAACGGUGGGUACUAGGUGUGGGUUCCUUCCUUGGGAUCCGUGCCGUAGCUAACGCAUUAAGUACCCCGCCUGGGGAGUACGGCCGCAAGGCUAAGACUCAAAGGAAUUGACGGGGGCCCGCACAAGCGGCGGAGCAUGUGGAUUAAUUCGAUGCAACGCGAAGAACCUUACCUGGGUUUGACAUGCACAGGACGCCGGCAGAGAUGUCGGUUCCCUUGUGGCCUGUGUGCAGGUGGUGCAUGGCUGUCGUCAGCUCGUGUCGUGAGAUGUUGGGUUAAGUCCCGCAACGAGCGCAACCCUUGUCCUAUGUUGCCAGCGGGUUAUGCCGGGGACUCGUAGGAGACUGCCGGGGUCAACUCGGAGGAAAGUGGGGAUGACGUCAAGUCAUCAUGCCCCUUAUGUCCAGGGCUUCACACAUGCUACAAUGGCCGGUACAAAGGGCUGCGAUGCCGUGAGGUGGAGCGAAUCCUUUCAAAGCCGGUCUCAGUUCGGAUCGGGGUCUGCAACUCGACCCCGUGAAGUCGGAGUCGCUAGUAAUCGCAGAUCAGCAACGCUGCGGUGAAUACGUUCCCGGGCCU
rnacentral:rRNA from 1 species